rnacentral:rRNA from 1 species
GAUGAAUGCUGGCGGCGCGCCUAACACAUGCAAGUCGAGCGGUAACAGGGGUAAUUUAUUACCUGCUGACGAGCGGCGGACGGCUGAGUAACGCGUGGGAACAUGCCCCAAAGUGAGGAAUAAGCCCGAGAAAUCGGGUCUAAUGCCGCAUAUGAUCUUCGGAUUAAAGGAUUUAUCCGCUUUGGGAGUGGCCCGCGUUCGAUUAGGUAGUUGGUGAGGUAAAGGCUCACCAAGCCUACGAUCGAUAACUGGUCUGAGAGGAUGAUCAGUCAGACUGGAACUGAGAUACGGUCCAGACUCCUACGGGAGGCAGCAGUGAGGAAUCUUCCACAAUGGGCGAAAGCCUGAUGGAGCGACGCCGCGUGCAGGAUGAAGGCCUUCGGGUUGUAAACUGCUUUUAUAAGUGAAGAAUAUGACGGUAACUUAUGAAUAAGCACCGGCUAACUACGUG